GGGAAUCUAACCCGUAGUCCCAAAGUAAAUGUGCAGGGGGGUCUACCAGGAAUCUAACCCGUAGUCCCAAGGUAAACAAAUAAAGGGGGAGCUACCGGAAUCCCACGUCUGUAGUCACAAUGUAAAUGCGCAACCACAACUAGAAGACAUUCAGAAGGGAAGUACAAAAAGACAAGCAACAGGUAGUACUAGUAUAAUAUGCUUUAUGUAAUACAAUCAAGGCAACUUAAGCAAGUAGUCAAGUUAAAUCAGCUAGACAUGUUUUUCUAAUCUCACACAGGUUAUAAUUGCAAGUAAAAUAAAGCAAAAACGAAAGAAAACUCAGUUUCAAUAUCUUAUGUAAACACCGUAUUUUUAACAAUUAGCUCAAGUACACG
rnacentral:lncRNA from 1 species